CCAAUAAAACCGUUAGCAAUAAUUUUAGCAAAAAUCACAGAAUUUACUUUAUUGGCAAAGGAGGAGGAAUGCUUUUAGGUACCUUGUUAAUUGUGUAGAAUAAUCACACCGAAUUAAUUUUAUUAUCAUAAUUUAUUAGUCCUGACAUAGUGCAAUACUUAUAAGAUCUGGUUAUUUUUCUUCUUUUAGAAAAGGUUAUUUGGUUGUUUUACUUUUAGAGUAAGCAACUAAAGGAACUGUUGCAAAUAUUUCCAUAGCGAAAUAUUUGAAGGAACAAGAUUUACUUUCAAAUGAAAUCUCCUUUUCAAAAGCCACUAGAUACAUGUUCCCCCCCCAUUAUUUAUUCCCCCCAAAAAAUAAUCUCCCAUCUGAACUGUAAACUUUAACCUGCAAAGAUGCAAAAUAUUAAUGAACAAGUCUUUUUUUUGUUUUUUUUUACACAAUUUGUUGCCUGGGACUUUGAAACAAUAUAACUAAACUUCUUGGUUAAAUCCACUUUAUUAGAGAAAAGGCCAUUCUAUACAUCUGAUCCGAAAUACUUUUGUAGUUCACCCCACAUCUUCUUAAAAACAGAUGCUCAUUCGUACAUUAACAAAUAUACUAAACUUCCCUAUUUGAGUUCAUAUAGUUCAUAUUUCCACAUUCUAUUCUGGAAACAUUAAAGAUUUGCUCAGACACGUGGGACAGGCAAGCCAACUUUUCCAUGUCCAUAUAAUGUUGCUUAAAAUGAAAACCUUGUUUCCACCAAUGUAUUAAUAAAUAUCAUAUCCAUAUUUAUUCCCAAUCAAUUGCAUAAAAUUAUAUUAUUCAGAGGGCUUUGUGACUGACAUUCAGGCCAGCGAGUUAGAAGCGACUGUGUACUUUUCAACAACGGGUUUUCAUUGACAAUCCCUCCCGCCAUUUGGAAACCUCGUUACGUAUUUCAAUUACGCAUGUUCUCAUGGCAACAGCAGCGGACUUCAGGACAGACACCCGAAUCAGCCAGUCUCUGUGCAAGGAUUCUGUGACGCCAUUUAACUGACAUGUCAGUUGUCCACUCGCUGCCGCCUGAGGACAAUAGAGACCAAACUAUAACUUGAUUGACAAUUCGAUAUAACAAAUGAAGAGAAGACGAUUGUGCCUCUUGUCCAAUAGAAAUGAAGUAAGGAGGCGGGCGGAGCGCUUGAGCCCGCCACAAAGCCAGGCCGGAGAGCCGUGAAGCGGAUGCAGAAGAGAAACGGCACUCAGGAACGGGGAGGAGGCAAAAUGGCGGCCGUCGGUGUCGGUGUCGCCGCGGUGAAACUCCUGGUGGGCUCCGAAGUGAGGGUAACGGUGGACCACAUCGUCGAAGAUGCGUUGGUCGUAUCUCUGCGCUUUGAAGAGAAGCUCUUCUCGGGGGUUCUAAUGGACAUUUCUAGAAGGUUUGGACCAUAUGGAAUUCCUGUGACUGUACUUCCAAAAAGGGAAUACAAGGAUAAAGCUGACCUACUGCAAGUACAGUGUGAAUCAUUCCAGCAACAGACCCAAAAAAUUUCAAAAUCUGCAUCUAUUUGUGAUGAAGCACCUCUAGAAUCUGCUACACAGGCUGAUGUUGCUGAAAGCCUGUGGACUGCAAAAUCUGCACCAUUAUUUUAUGAAGGAGCACCUUACCCACCUCCUUUGUUUAUCAGACAUACGUAUAACCAAUCUAUACCUCAGCCUCCACCAAGAAGAAUUAAGCGACCUAAACGAAAAAUCUUCAAAGAAGAGUCUACUUCAAUAAUGAACUCUAUUAAACUAAGACCAAGGCAAGUUUUAUGUGACCGCUGCAAAAAUAGCAUUUCUGCCGAUAAAAAAGAGUUGAGAAGGGGUGGCAGUACAAAUGAUAAUUCUCGACAAGAGGACAAAAAAAGGAAAAAUGAUAGUGUGCCUAAUAUGUCAAAGAGACUGAAAAUGGACCACAAAGUAGAAGCGAAAACUCAGUGUGAUGGUCAAAAACGCAAUACUGUCAUUAAAAUUACAAAUUUAUCUCCAGGCAAGGGCAAAGUUGUCAAAAUUUCGUCUCAAGUACACAGUUCUAAAGUGCAGUUGAAUCCCAAGAAAGUGUUACAGAAUAAGAACGUAGAUCACUCAAAAGCCAGGGAAGUGUUAAAAAUAGCCAAAGAGAAAGUUCAAAAGAAACAACAGCAGGACGUUUCAUCUUCUGGCAAUUCAAUUUCCAAAAUUCAUUUUACACGGCGCUUUCAAACUACCAACUCUGGUUCACUCCCUCCAAGGAUUCGCUUAAAGCCACAGAGAUACAGGAAUGAAGAAAAUGAUUCUGCUUACAAGGCUAAACUUGAGAGACUACGCAGCUGCAAGACAGCCUCCAAAACACCACCUCGCUGCACCUCCUCCCGCUCAGCAGGUGAGCAGCCUCCUGGCAAAGAUAGUCCCACAAAAGGGUUGGAACAGUCCACUGAUGAGAAUAAAGACACCAGGGAAAUAAAGUGGCCUUGUGAGCAGGAUGAAAAACAGUUGGGGAAAAGGGGCAGCAGAGGCAAUAUAACUGUUUAUAUGACCUACAGUCAAAAUAAAUCAGACUCUUCCACCUUUUCAGUUUGUAGUAGUGAUAGCACAGAUGAUCUAAAAUCCUCCAACUCAGAAUGUAGCUCUACUGAAACAUUUGACUUUCCACCAGGCAGCAUGCAUGUACCUUGCUCCUCCUCUUCCUCCUCCUCAAAAGAAGAAAAACUCACUAAUUCCUUGAAAAUGAAAGUCUUUACCAAAAAUGUCUCUAAGUGUGUGACUCCAGAUGGCAAGACCAUAUGUGUAGGGGACAUUGUGUGGGCCAAGAUUUACGGCUUCCCCUGGUGGCCUGCCCGCAUACUUACCAUAACUGUAAGUCGGAAAGAUAAUGGCUUUUUAGUAAGGCAGGAGGCCAGAAUUUCAUGGUUUGGGUCCCCAACAACAUCUUUCCUGGCUCUUUCACAAGUCUCCCCGUUUUUAGAAAACUUCCAGUUACGGUUUAACAAGAAGAGAAAGGGCCUUUACCGUAAGGCCAUCACAGAGGCAGCCAAGGCUGCAAAGCAGCUGACACCUGAGGUGCGGGCCCUGCUGACACAGUUUGAAACAUGAAAACAUCAAAGAAGGAGAAGAUUGCCAGGCAAAGAGAAGAAAUAGUUAAUGAUUGAAUCAAAGCCUCCUUGAAGGAAUAUAUCAUUCCCACUGCCUGCUGGGAAUCUCUGACUCAUGUCUGUUAUGAAUAAGAGGAAUGAGCGGCUCUUGGAAUGCUGUUGGUAAUCUGAAUCUGCAAGCUAUGCAUCAAGAGCAAGUAGAUCCUGUCUAAGCUGCGAUUGCCUCAAACUACAUGCCUAGACUGUAGGUCAUCCUAUAUUAACCUUGUUAGCCACUUCAACUGCAGUGGAAGUCAUCCUGGAUCUAUGGGUUAAAAGCUAGCAGAUUCAAGUGCAACAUUUUUUAUUUUCCUUAUAAACUGACGAAGACAAUUUAUUUUAGUAAUACUGAGAGAAAGAUGAAUUGUGGCCAAGAUUCUGGAGGUAACUUCCUUGACCAUUAAAAUGAUGCCUUGGAAUCUUUCUCAUUCAUCCCGGCGACACUAAGGCUCUGGCUGCUCUUCCCUAUGAUGUCCACUACACUGCCAUUUAUUGAGCUGCAACAUGCGGCAACCAAACAUGCAGCCACCCGAUACAACAUCUUGUCCAGAGUUCAAAUUUUGUGAAGUUCUUCGAGAGGGAGAAAAUUUAAACAAAAGUCAUCCAUGACUUUUUAGUCAUAAUUGAAAUAAACCUGACACUUGUACUUACUGUACACAUUGCUUUCUCACAUGGAAAAUGGAAGAUAUUUUAAAAAAUUGCAAUACUUAAUGCAUGUUAUGAGAUUUUUCUGACACACACAUACAGUAUAUAUGAUCCACUUGAAAUGCAAGUUCUUUCUUAGAAAUUCUUUCCAUGUGAUGCUCCCUGUUGAAAAUGGAUGAAUCCACCUUUAAUGAAUCCAGUACUGUAGCCUUUUUUAUAUAAAUUCUAAGCUUUGGAUUUUAAUUAUGAAUUCAGUUCUAGAAAUUGUGUCAGGGAUUUUUUUUUACAUGUAGUAUUGUACUUGCUCUUCACUGGCUUUUGCUUGGUUGCUUAAUAUUUAAGCUAUGGUCCAUAUUUUAUUUUAGUUUUUGUCUUCAUAUCAAAAGGAGCCCAACAUCAAUGUUUCACGAACUUGAAUACAUUUAAUUAUGUGAUUCAGCUUUAAAGUUUGCAUAAAAUUGAAUGUUUUAAGAAUGCGGUGUACAACAGUUCAAAGGAAUUAAAAUUUAGAUUGUAUUA